UAAACCUGGUUGAUCCUGCCAGUAGUCAUACGCUUGUCUCAAAGAUUAAGCCAUGCAUGUCUAAGUAUAAGCACCUUAUACUGUGAAACUGCGAAUGGCUCAUUAUAUCAGUAAUAGUUUAUUUGAUGGUCCCUUACUACCUGGAUACCCGUAGUAAUUCUAGAGCUAAUACAUGCACUACAUUCCCAACUGCU
rnacentral:rRNA from 1 species